UUCGAGCCGAUGUGAGUACAGGAGCCGAAUUAAAUUAUAGACGUGCAGCUGUAGAAGAAAGCUGUAUCAAUUUUUAAAACUAUAAGAUUACGUUUGUCGUACUAUUCAAUCAAGUGAAAUCGUUCGCCUAAAAGAUUUAGAAUGGAAAAAAAUGCAUUCAUUAAGUAUUUAACUGCCAUUGUUUUGACGUAUUUUCACAAUGAAACAGAGGUAUGCGCAAACCCAUUAAAAGCUCGAUCCAACCUGAUUGGUCAUAUUAAAAAAGAACUACAUUGGAAAGACAUGUGGUUCGAAGAUUACUUCUAUGAAAAUGAUUGGAGGCCUUUAAGGAGACUUUGGAAGAAAAACUAUAGUGUCUUAGUGGAGGAUAGACUACAAAUGGUCUGUAUGAUGAUGGGAUGCGCUUAUGGGCCAAAUUUAAAUUGGUUUCUCUUAUUGACGCUUGAAGCAAUUGAUGAAUGCGAUAAAAUGCAACGAAACAACAAAGAACAUGCUGGCGAUUGUAGGGCCAAACUUAUAGCAAGUAUAGAAAAAGGAAAGGCUAUUAUAUUGAAGUUGUUGCACACAUUAAAAUACAUCGAUACUGUAGGCCUUAUUAAUACAUUGAAUAAUAAUAAGCUUUACCAGAUUCUAUUGCCACUCCAAGAUUUUCUCACGGGACAUCUUCCCGUAGAAUAUUCUGGCAUAAUCCCAGGAGGUUUAGUUAUUAACCAAUUGUUAAAUAAAGUUGCCGUUUCCUUGACAGAGUUUUUGCACUUUACAUGUUAUCCGUACUACAAAUUAUUCAAUAUAACGGAAAUAAAGAAUGGAUAUAAUAGUGAUAUUUACCCAAAAGGCAUCUACUCUUUCAUUAUCAUCAAGUUGAAUAGUUACAUCGACUACAUCGACAAUCACUUGAUCCAACUCGGUUUUCAUUAUGAAGUAAACAAGAACCAGGUAACCUUUGAUCCAAGCGUAAGACGCUAACACACUUUUAAUAUUCAGUCCUGUGGAGAUAUUAUUAUCGUUAAUUUGUGUUCAAUAGUAUAUAUUUAGUAAUUAAAAGUGUUUCUCUUUUUACAUAGAAAUAAUAAUAUAACUUCAAUCAAAUUCAUUUAUAUUUGUGUCAUUUUAAUUUGUUAAAAGGUAUUAUAAUACAUAUCAAAAAUGCGUUCUUUGCCGUGUCUUUUUUUUUUUCAUUGCAUUUUAUAAUUUUAUAUAAAUCUAGUGUUUAAGACUACACGAGAAGGAAGUUUUUUUGUGUCACGAAAAUUCGCCCAAGUAGUAUUGACAACGGUCGUUGAAUUACUUGCCAAAUAGCUUGACAAACUGUUAAUACAGUUUGUUUAUUGAUGCCAUAAGGUGUGGUGAAGUCUUUAAAUUGUAUCAAAUUUUGGUUGUUUUUUAGGUCUCUAUGAAUUGAUGGUUUAGAAACCGAGUUUGGUAUAAAACCUUUCAUAGACAAUUUAUACUGAAGUGUAACAAAAAUUGAAUUUCGUUUUUAUGUCAUA